rnacentral:lncRNA from 1 species
AUGGCAUCAAAAUGGAGAGCUACUGCAUCUUGGUAUUCUCACCCAGUAUCUGCAAGCUACUGAGACCUAAUCAUCAUGCAGUGCUUUGGAUGCAAAGGCACCAGGAUGCCUACAGAAAGUUCAGGAAUUCCUAGUUCAUUUCCCCAUGGUUCUUGCCCCAUGGAGCUUUUCCCUGGAACUCUCUCCUUUAUGAAACUCUCAAGGGCAGCCUGGCACGGGUCUCCCUACAGUUUUUCCAAUCUCAAAAACUCUAGAAAGUCUCUGCAUAACAAUAAAAACCAAGCAUCCACAGGAGAAAAUGAAGCACUGUGUGAAGAGAAAGAGCUGGAGUUGGAUUCAAAUGAUGAAGCAGCCAGUGACCCGAGCAAUAAAGAAAUGAUCUAGGAGCUCUGCCAAUACUUCACACAGACUGAGAGGCACAGCAAAGAGAUAUAGGAACAGCUAAUCUGGAUGAAGAGUGCCUAGAUGACUAUAUGAAGGCAGAUCAUGGCCUGUACUUCAACCACCACAGGUCAGUGGAGUCCCCUUCUGAGAAGCUCUGUACCAAGCAGAGAUGAAGCACUUAUAUGGAGACAGUGCUCCCAAGAACCUGGUCAUGGAGUCAUCUAUGUAGCUGAUCUUUGACAAGCACUUUGACAGAAGGCAGCUGAAG